rnacentral:rRNA from 1 species
CGGGGAGCUUGGAGACAGGUGCUGCAUGGCUGUCGUCAGCUCGUGUCGUGAGAUGUUGGGUUAAGUCCCGCAACGAGCGCAACCCUUGCCUUUAGUUGCCAUCAUUCAGUUGGGCACUCUAGAGGGACUGCCGGUGUCAAACCGGAGGAAGGUGGGGAUGACGUCAAGUCCUCAUGGCCUUUAUGCCCAGGGCUACACACGUGCUACAAUGGGCGGUACAAAGAGCAGCGAGCUCGCGAGAGUAAGCAAAUCUCAAAAAGCCGUCCUCAGUUCGGAUUGGAGUCUGCAACUCGACUCCAUGAAGUUGGAAUCGCUAGUAAUCGCGGAUCAGAACGCCGCGGUGAAUACGUUCUCGGGGUUU